CAAUCAUUCGAUCAAUUUCAGAUGAACACAGUUGAUAAACUCAUUUUAAAGAGUAACUGAGCACUACGAACAUUCAGUGUAACAUCACUUAGUAGAAAGAAACACAAUGCGAGGUAUCCGUAAAAUGACGGGAAAACAGUAUGGAGAAUUACUAACAACUUUCUCAUUGUGGAAUAGUCAUCACGUAACAGGACAGCUGAUGCAUCUGUAGCAGUCAGUGAGCAAAAAAAAUAUGAUUUUCGUACUGCCAACAAAGAAAACUAAAUUUCUCUACUAUAAGGCGUUGUGUAUAGUGGCCCGACAGUUUCAAAAUCUUCAUCUCAUUGUAUACGAACCCUCUGAACACGAAGAAUAAUCUCUGAAGAACUCAUGACUGCAACUGCUCCCAAAGUCUCUCUUACAUCUGUCAAAAUAAGGUGAGAUAAAACCUUCCUUAGUGUCAACAUUAUGAGUAAAAGUGGAACAAAGUUAAUCUGGCCAACUUCUCUAGACAUACAAACUGUGGAAGCAGACAACAUUCUAUGUGAAGUUGAUCUUCUAUUCCCAAUCUCCAAAUGACAUUUUGUGCUAACUGAAGCAUUUCUUUGUCAUAUUACACCACUGUAUAACAAAAUUCCUUAAGUAAUACUUAUAUGUAUCAGAAAUUUUAUUAAUCUAAAUUCUCUAAAAAGUAUUUAUUUUCUGAUAUCUUUGAACAAAUAUUUUACUUGACAUUAAUUUAAAUUUAAACUCAAGUAUACCUGAUUUUAAAAGAAAAUAUGAAAUAAACCUUAAAUAUAUGGAUAAAAGUGAUCUCGUACCCUCCAUUACACAAAAUGUCCCGUCCAUUCCUAUUAGUGAAAUAUUUUUUACUCAUUUACUCAUAACACAAAUACAAUAUUGUAAGUCUCAACAGUUAUUCAGAAAGUACAAUUGAUAUUAUUUACUUUCCCAUGUACAAAAAUUUAGAUUUUAUUUAAUAUUUUACCACUAUAAGUUAUCGAAUAUUGAAAUAUCUUGUCUGAUACAAAAUAAUGGCUGUUUACCUUAUUUAAAAAUGUUAUGCCAUUAGAGAAAUAUUUUUUUAAGGAAUUAAACUUCUUAGUUACCUUUUUGACCCCUUAAUUGAACUUACCUGA